UACAGAGGGUGCGAGCGUUGUCCGGAAUUACUGGGCGUAAAGUGUGCGCAGGCGGCAGAGCAAGUCGAGUGUGAAAGCCCCGGGCUUAACUUGGGAAUUGCGCUCGAAACUACUUUGCUGGAGUGUGGCAGAGGCAGGUGGAAUUCCGGGUGUAGCGGUGGAAUGCGUAGAGAUCCGGAAGAACACCAGUGGCGAAGGCGGCCUGCUGGGCAGUUGCUGACGCUGAGGCGCGACAGCGUGGGGAGCAAACAGG
rnacentral:rRNA from 1 species